GGGGUAACCUGGUGAGUAAAGUGGCGUACGGGUGAGUAACACGUGGGUAAUCUACCUUCUGGUGGGGGAUACCCUGGGAAACCGGGGCUAUACCGCAUAACCCCGCAAGGGAAAAGCAGCAAUGCGCUGGAAGAGGAGCCCGCGGCCGAUUAGCUAGUUGGUAGGGUAAUGGCCUACCAAGGCUGCGAUCGGUAGCCGGCCUGAGAGGGCACACGGCCACACUGGCACUGAAACACGGGCCAGACUCCUACGGGAGGCAGCAGUGGGGAAUCUUGCACAAUGGGGGAAACCCUGAUGCAGCGACGCCGCGUGAGCGAUGAAGCCCUUCGGGGUGUAAAGCUCUUUCGGCAGGAACGAUAAUGACGGUACCUGCAGAAGAAGCUGCGGCUAACUACGUGCCAGCAGCCGCGGUAAGACGGAGGAGGCAAGCGUUGUUCGGAUUUAUUGGGCGUAAAGGGCGCGUAGGCGGAUCGGCGGGUCCGGCGUGAAAUCUCCACCGCUCACCGGGGAGAGGCCGCUGGAAACUACCGAUCUGGAGUUCGGCAGAGGGUCAUGGAAUUCCAGGUGUAGCGGUGGAAUGCGUAGAUAUCUGGAAGAACACCUGUGGCGAAGGCGGUGGCCUGGGCCGAAACUGACGCUGAGGCGCGAAAGCUAGGGGAGCAAACGGGAUUAGAUACCCCGGUAGUCCUAGCCGUAAACGUUGGAUACUAGGUGUGGGAGGUAUCGACCCCUUCCGUGCCGAAGUUAACACAUUAAGUAUCCCGCCUGGGGAGUACGGCCGCAAGGUUGAAACUCAAAGGAAUUGACGGGGGCCCGCACAAGCGGUGGAGCAUGUGGUUCAAUUCGACGCAACGCGAAGAACCUUACCCAGGCUCGAAAUGCAGGGGAU
rnacentral:rRNA from 1 species